rnacentral:rRNA from 1 species
GACGAACGCUGGCGGCGUGCUUAACACAUGCAAGUCGAGCGGUAAGGCCCUUUCGGGGGUACACGAGCGGCGAACGGGUGAGUAACACGUGGGUGACCUGCCUUUAGCUCUGGGAUAAGCCUGGGAAACUGGGUCUAAUACCGGAUAUGACUCCGCGGUGCAUGCUGUGGGGUGGAAAGCCUUGUGCGGCUGGAGAUGGGCCCGCGGCCUAUCAGCUUGUUGGUGGGGUGAUGGCCUACCAAGGCGACGACGGGUAGCCGGCCUGAGAGGGCGACCGGCCACACUGGGACUGAGACACGGCCCAGACUCCUACGGGAGGCAGCAGUGGGGAAUCUUGCGCAAUGGGCGAAAGCCUGACGCAGCGACGCCGCGUGAGGGAUGACGGCCUGG